rnacentral:rRNA from 1 species
AGAGUUUGAUCAUGGCUCAGACGAACGCUGGCGGCGUGGAUAAGACAUGCAAGUUGAACGAUGACUGUCUGGUAGCAAUAUUGGGCAGUCAUAGUGGCGAAAGGGUGCGUAACACGUGAGCGAUCUACCCUUAAGAUCGGAAUAACCCCGAGAAAUCGAGGCUAAUACCAAAUAAACUCACCGUGAUAAUUCAUGGUGAGUAAAGCUGGGGACCGCAAGGCCUGGCGCUUGAGGAUGAACUCGCGGCCUAUCAGCUAGUUGGCGGGGUAACGGCCCACCAAGGCUAAGACGGGUAGCUGGUCUUAGAGGACGACCAGCCACACUGGAACUGAGACACGGUCCAGACACCUACGGGUGGCAGCAGUCGAGAAUUUUUCACACUGGGCGAAAGCCUGAUGGAGCGACGCCGCGUGGGGGAUGAAGGGCUUCGGCCUGUAAACCCCUGUCAUUUGCGAACAAACCCGGCUUUUGAAUAGAGAGCUGGCUGAUUGUAGCGAAAGAGGAAGGGACGGCUAACUCUGUGCCAGCAGCCGCGGUAAUACAGAGGUCCCAAGCGUUGUUCGGAUUCACUGGGCGUAAAGGGUGUGUAGGCGGUCGAGAUAGUCUGAUGUUAAAUCUCUGGGCUCAACCCAGAUGCCGCAUUGGAUACUUCUUGGCUAGAGAGGCAUAGGGGGAACCGGAAUUCUCGGUGUAGCAGUGAAAUGCGUAGAUAUCGAGAGGAACGCCAGUGGCGAAAGCGGGUUCCUGGAUGCCUUCUGACGCUGAGGCACUAAAGCUGGGGGACAAACGGGAUUAGAUACCCUAGUAGUCC